rnacentral:rRNA from 1 species
GUCCACGCCGUAACGAUGGAUACUAGCUGUUCGGCGCAAGUUGAGUGGCUAAGCGAAAGUGAUAAGUAUCCCACCUGGGGAGUACGUUCGCAAGAAUGAAACUCAAAGGAAUUGACGGGGCCCGCACAAGCGGAGGAGCAUGUGGUUUAAUUCGAUGAUACGCGAGGAACCUUACCAGGGCUUAAAUGGGAGACGACAGGACUGGAACAGUUUUUCUUCGGACGUCUUUCAAGGUGCUGCAUGGUUGUCGU